rnacentral:rRNA from 1 species
CGCCUUAACUACGGGAUCAUCGCAUUGCUUCCCAAGGUCCCUGGCGCCUCGGACAUCCGUUAGUUUCGACUGAUCACGGUGAUCAAUAUCAUCUUCAGCAUUCUGGCAAAGGGGUUCGCCAAUAGGGUGGCCCCUUUGGCUGACCGCAUCACCCACCAGGAUCAGUCCGCCUUCAUACAAGGCCAGUACAUCUUGGAUGGAGUUCUUGUCUUUCAUGAAGUUCUGCACGAGGUCUCCAAAAACCUCAAAGCAGUCUUCCUGAAAAUAGACUUCCACAAGGCUUACGACAUGGUUAGCUAGUCCUUCCUUCCAAAAGUGUUGCUUAGGAAAGGCUUCGACGAUCGCUGGGUCACCCGUGUCAUGCACCUGGUGUCCUCGGGGCGCACCGCGGUGAACAUUAAUGGGGAGAUCGUGCCCUAUUUCCCCACCUUAUGCGGGGUCAGACAGGGGGACCCCUUUUCUCCAUUUAUGUUCAACAUGGUGGUCGACACCCUUGCCUUGAUCCUUGAUAAGGCUAACGCCACUGGCCACAUCCACGACAUUGUUCCACACCUCGUGGAGGAAGGGGGUGUAUCCUCCAAUAUGCCGACGACACCAUAA